UCCAUGAGCUUCCUGACCAGAAGAAUCUGAGAGAAAAAGAGGACAGGUCAAGAACCCAAAUAUGCCAUAGGCUGCUGAAAAGCAUUCAGAAUUCCUGACACUUGGAGAAAUCAUAACAAAGAUAAAGGGUAACAUCAGACCAGUUGUCACCUGAGAUGGGCAGAGUUCCUGAAUAACCAAAUUGUCGUAAGGACAGGCAUAUUAGGAGUGAAUAGACAAGUUGAGUCUGCAGUCAAGAAAGGACAGAGAGGCCCUGCUGAAGAGGAUUAUUGAGUUAGAAGCUGAGCUUAAAAGAUAUGACGAGUACAGUAAGCAGAUAGAAGCACAAGAAAAAGUCGGCUCUCUGGUACAGCAAUUUUUCAGUGUCAUUUAAAAUUCCACCUUUUUUUGUCAAAGUAAGAUAGUGAUAGUAGUUUUUGAUUUUUUAGGUCCCACUGUUUUACUUUCAAAAUACUUCAGCUAAUCAAUCUAAGAGCCUCAUUUCCCCUCUCACUCCCACAUAACCUUCACCUGUGAAAAAAAGCUGAUUAACCCCACCAUAUGUCUCCCUAGAACCUUCUUAGUCUUGCCAUUCUAUUGCUAACUCUGCACUUCUCACCAUGUAUUUUUCUCUUCCCCAUUAUGUCUUGUGAUUGAGUUAAAAAUCUCUAUUGUAGCCACACAUUCAAAUUUGAAUAUGUCAUAUAAAUAAUGUAAAGUC